rnacentral:rRNA from 1 species
UACAGAGGUCUCAAGCGUUGUUCGGAUUCAUUGGGCGUAAAGGGUGCGUAGGCGGCGCGGUAAGUCGGGUGUGAAAUCUCGGAGCUUAACUCCGAAACUGCAUUCGAUACUGCCGUGCUUGAGGACUGGAGAGGAGACUGGAAUUUACGGUGUAGCGGUGAAAUGCGUAGAUAUCGUAAGGGAAGACCAGUGGCGAAGGCGGGUCUCUGGACAGUUCCUGACACUGAGACACGAAGGCUAGGGGAGCAAACGAG